rnacentral:rRNA from 1 species
GAUGAACGCUGGCGGCGUGCCUAAUACAUGCAAGUCGAGCGAACGGACGAGAAGCUUGCUUCUCUGAUGUUAGCGGCGGACGGGUGAGUAACGCGUGGAUAACCUACCUAUAAGACUGGGAUAACUUCGGGAAACCGGAGCUAAUACCGGAUAAUAUUUCGAACCGCAUGGUUCAAAAGUGAAAGACGGUCUUGCUGUCACUUAUAGAUGGAUCCGCGCUGCAUUAGCUAGUUGGUAAGGUAACGGCUUACCAAGGCAACGAUGCAUAGCCGACCUGAGAGGGUGAUCGGCCACACUGGAACUGAGACACGGUCCAGACUCCUACGGGAGGCAGCAGUAGGGAAUCUUCCGCAAUGGGCGAAAGCCUGACGGAGCAACGCCGCGUGAGUGAUGAAGGUCUUCGGAUCGUAAAACUCUGUUAUUAGGGAAGAACAUAUGUGUAAGUAACUGUGCACAUCUUGACGGUACCUAAUCAGAAAGCCACGGCUAACUACGUGCCAGCAGCCGCGGUAAUACGUAGGUGGCAAGCGUUAUCCGGAAUUAUUGGGCGUAAAGCGCGCGUAGGCGGUUUUUUAAGUCUGAUGUGAAAGCCCACGGCUCAACCGUGGAGGGUCAUUGGAAACUGGAAAACUUGAGUGCAGAAGAGGAAAGUGGAAUUCCAUGUGUAGCGGUGAAAUGCGCAGAGAUAUGGAGGAACACCAGUGGCGAAGGCGACUUUCUGGUCUGUAACUGACGCUGAUGUGCGAAAGCGUGGGGAUCAAACAGGAUUAGAUACCCUGGUAGUCCACGCCGUAAACGAUGAGUGCUAAGUGUUAGGGGGUUUCCGCCCCUUAGUGCUGCAGCUAACGCAUUAAGCACUCCGCCUGGGGAGUACGACCGCAAGGUUGAAACUCAAAGGAAUUGACGGGGACCCGCACAAGCGGUGGAGCAUGUGGUUUAAUUCGAAGCAACGCGAAGAACCUUACCAAAUCUUGACAUCCUUUGACAACUCUAGAGAUAGAGCUUUCCCCUUCGGGGGACAAAGUGACAGGUGGUGCAUGGUUGUCGUCAGCUCGUGUCGUGAGAUGUUGGGUUAAGUCCCGCAACGAGCGCAACCCUUAAGCUUAGUUGCCAUCAUUAAGUUGGGCACUCUAAGUUGACUGCCGGUGACAAACCGGAGGAAGGUGGGGAUGACGUCAAAUCAUCAUGCCCCUUAUGAUUUGGGCUACACACGUGCUACAAUGGACAAUACAAAGGGCAGCGAAACCGUGAGGUCAAGCAAAUCCCAUAAAGUUGUUCUCAGUUCGGAUUGUAGUCUGCAACUCGACUACAUGAAGCUGGAAUCGCUAGUAAUCGUAGAUCAGCAUGCUACGGUGAAUACGUUCCCGGGUCU